GACGAACGCUGGCGGCGUGCCUAAUACAUGCAAGUCGAACGAACCGCGACUAAGUGCUUGCACUAAGUCAAGGUGAGUGGCGAACGGGUGAGUAACACGUGGGUAACCUACCUCAUAGUGGGGGAUAACAGUCGGAAACGACUGCUAAUACCGCAUAGGACAUAGGAUCCCAUGAUCCAGUGAGGAAAGGUGGCGCAAGCUAUCGCUAAGAGAUGGACCCGCGGUGCAUUAGCUAGUUGGUAGGGUAAAGGCCUACCAAGGCGAUGAUGCAUAGCCGACCUGAGAGGGUGAUCGGCCACAUUGGGACUGAGACACGGCCCAAACUCCUACGGGAGGCAGCAGUAGGGAAUCUUCCGCAAUGGACGCAAGUCUGACGGAGCAACGCCGCGUGAGUGAAGAAGGUCUUCGGAUCGUAAAGCUCUGUUGUUAGAGAAGAACAGCGCAUAGAGUAACUGCUAUGCGUGUGACGGUAUCUAACCAGAAAGCCACGGCUAACUACGUG
rnacentral:rRNA from 1 species